rnacentral:rRNA from 1 species
UACAGAGGUCCCAAGCGUUGUUCGGAUUCACUGGGCGUAAAGGGUGCGUAGGUGGUGAGGUAAGUCGGAUGUGAAAGCUCGGAGCUCAACUCCGAAAUGGCAUUGGAAACUACCUUGCUCGAGGGUUGGAGGGGGGACUGGAAUACUUGGUGUAGCAGUGAAAUGCGUAGAUAUCAAGUGGAACACCAGUGGCGAAGGCGAGUCCCUGGACAACUACUGACACUGAGGCACGAAAGCUAGGGGAGCAAACAGG